GCUUGUUCCCGGGCCGGGAGACCAGAGACCCGAGACCCGGCUUGAGCCAGGAACAAGCCAUGCUGAUAGGAAAGAAGACCGCAACUCCUCAGGCAGCUGGACCCCAUCUUGAGAGGAUACACCUGUGACCUUGAGGCUUCCUGCCAAAACUACUAGUCUGGAGGAGGAAGUGGUUCUGGAGCUGCUGGGGCUAUGGACGUUCCUCAGCAAGGCUCGGGAUUUUGCAAGCAGUCUCUAAUGCUUCCCAAUCCUUAGUGACAACAGUAUUAACUCUUCUAAUUACAAAAUGGUACAUGCCUAUUGUAAAAUACGAAAACAUUAUGAAACAGAAGUAAGUGUAACUGGUUUAAUCAUGGAGUGUCAACUCAGUGGGGUAUAUAAGAUCAUGAAAUGGUUCUUUUUCCCCCCCAGGCUCUGCCUUCAUCCAUGUUCUGUUGAAUCCCCAUGAGUGAAUGAAUGAAUGAGUGAGUACUGAGUGGGAACGAGACACUGAGGGAGGGCUUUAGGAAAGAGAAAGGCUUUCCCUCACCAGUUCCCUGAGGAAGAAUACAAACUGGAUAAAAGAUUACAACUGGUGAAAAUAUUUCCAAUCCAUAUCACAAAGAGAUUCAUCUGCCUAUUUAUCAAGAGCUCUUAGAAAUCAAGAAGAAAAAGCACAGGGACUUCCCUGGUGGUGCAGUGGUUAAGAAUCCACCUGCCAAUGCAGGGGACACGGGUUUGAGCCCUGGUCCAGGAAGAUCCCACAUGCUGCAGAGCAACUAAGCCCGUGUGCCACAACUACUGAUCCUGCGCUCUAGAGCCUGCAGGCCACAACUACUGAAGCCCAUGUACCUAGAGCCCAUGCUCCGCCACAAGAGAAGCCACUGCAAUGAGAAGCCCGUGUACCGCAACGAAGAGUAGUCCCCACUCGCCACAACUAGAGAAAACCCGCGCGCAGCAACAAAGACCCAACGCAGCCAAAUAUUAAUUAAUUAAGAAGAAAAAGCACACAAAAAAAUGUGAAGAGACUGUUCAGACAUAAUACAAAUGGCCCUUAAAUGUAUGGAAGGAUGACAGACUUUUCUCAUAAUAUGAGAAAUGCACAUCAGAACCAUGCUGAGAUAUCAUUUUUCACCUAUGGGAUUAGCAAAAAAUUGAAAAUUAAAAAAAAACUGUUGUUAAUGAGGCAUACAGAAGGAGGCAUUUUCCUACAUUGCCAUGGUGCUUGCAAAAUAGAACAACUCCUAUGGAGAAGAAUUUGACAAUAUCUACCUACACUGUAGAUACAUUUGCCUUUUGAUCCAGAUAUUCUAUUUCAGAGACUCUAUCCCACAGAUACACUUGUACAUGUGCUUUGCAAAUAUUUGGCAUUGUUUCCAAUAGUAAAAAAUAGAAAACAACACAAAUGUCCACCAACAGAGAGCUGGUUUAAUAAACUAU